GGAGAGAUGACCGAGAGGCUGAAGGUGCACGCCUGGAAAGCGUGUGUGCGGGAAACCGUACCGGGGGUUCGAAUCCCCCUCUCUCCGCCA
rnacentral:tRNA from 1 species